AAUCCAAUGAGCUCAAGUCGGACU
rnacentral:siRNA from 1 species